AUGCCUACAUUGUCCGCUCAAGAGAAGGGGCACACAAGCAGACUGUGUCAGAACCGGAAACGUGAAAAGACAUCAAAAAGAAUUGGCUGCAAGGCAAAAAUAAGAGUCAAAAAGAGGAAGGAUGGCAAAUUUGUGAUAGAAAUGGUUGAACUAAAUCACAAUCACAAGAUGCUAGAAAGCCCCGGGAUGCUUCUCAUGCGCUCGCACAAAAAAGACGAUCCUUUGAUUGACCAGUUGGUGAAGGACAUGCAGCUGGACAACCACACACACACGCAUAUGAUGUCAACGCUGUCGCGUAUGUCCGGUGGUCUGCAGUAAAUGGGACAUACUAGCCGCGACUGGGUCAACAAGAAACAGAAGUUUGCUAGAGAAGAGUCCCAAGAUGACGUCAAGAAACUUCUGGAUUUCUUUGAGAAGAUGUAAAAGAUAAACCCAGAGUUCUUCUAUGUUAUGACUGCCAACGCUAGCUGCAAAGGAUCGUAUGAAGCUUUUGGAGACUGUGUUACAUUUGACACGACAUAUAAAACUAACAAAUUCCACAUACCGCUGGGAGUUUUCGUGGGAGUAAACCAUCAUCUACAGAGUACCAUAUUUGCUGUCGCCCUUGUGUGAGAUGAAAUGAUACCGUCGUUCGAGUGUGCUUUCAAGACAUUCAUGAGGUGUAUGAACAACAAGCCGCCAAUCUGCAUGCUCAUAGACCAAUGUUCUUCGAUGAAGGCAACAUUAAAAACUAUCCUCCCAGAUACAUUACAUAAGUUGUGUUGGUGGCAUAUCACGAAGAAGUACAAAGACCACCUCGCCUUGUUGUAUAAGGCACACGAGAAACUAAAGAAUGACCUCAAUGCGGUGCUGAACCACCCACUAAUGCCGUCAGAAUUUGAACGAGCAUGGAAGGACCUCAUUCAGAAAUACAACUUGCAAAAUGACGAAGUGAUGAAUUCACUGUGGGAUGAAGGCACGUGGAUCUCAACUUACUGCAAGGAAAUUUUCUGUGCUUGAAUGACUUCCACGUAGAGAAGCGAGAGCAUGAACCGCAUAUUGAAGAAAAACUUCGUCAAAGAGAAGCAUGAUCUCCAUAUGUUUGCUCAACAACUGGACAAGUGCAUUCAGACUAGGAAGGCCAUCGAGCACGCAGAGACAGUAGCAAAUGAGGUAAAUAAAAAUGUCCAGAAAAACUGCUAA
rnacentral:rRNA from 1 species